GACGAACGCUGGCGGCGUGCUUAACAUAUGCAAGUCGAACGCUGAAACAGGAGCUUGCUUCUGCGGAUGAGUGGCGAACGGGUGAGUAACACGUGAGUAACCUGCCCCGAACUCUGGGAUAAGCGCUGGAAACGGUGUCUAAUACUGGAUAUGAGCAAUGGCCGCAUGGUCUGUUGUUGGAAAGAUUUAUUGGUUCGGGAUGGGCUCGCGGCCUAUCAGCUUGAUGGUGGGGUAAUGGCCAACCAUGGCGACGACGGGUAGCCGGCCUGAGAGGGUGACCGGCUAGACUGGGACUGGGACACGGCCCAGACUCCUACGGGAGGCAGCAGUGGGGAAUAGUGCACAAUGGGCGAAAACCUGAUGCAGCAACGCCGCGUGAGGGAUGUCGGCCUUCGGGUUGUAAACCUCUUUUAGUAGGGAAGAAGCGGAAGUGACGGUACCUGCAGAAAAAGCACCGGCUAACUACGUGCCAGCAGCCGCCGUAAGAC
rnacentral:rRNA from 1 species